rnacentral:rRNA from 1 species
AAGGGAUAAACGCUGAAGGCAUCUAAGCGUGAAGCCCCCCUCAAGAUGAGAUAUCUGUAGUUAGCAAUAACUGCAAGGCCCCUUAGAGAGUAUGAGGUAGAUAGGAAUGAGGUGUAAGCACAGCAAUGUGUUCAGCUGACAUUUACUAAUCGGCCGAAAGUUUAACCAA